rnacentral:rRNA from 1 species
UACGUAGGGGGCAAGCGUUGUCCGGAAUCAUUGGGCGUAAAGCGCGUGUAGGCGGCCCGGUAAGUCCGCUGUGAAAGUCGGGGGCUCAACCCUCGAAUGCCGGUGGAUACUGUCGGGCUAGAGUACGGAAGAGGCGAGUGGAAUUCCUGGUGUAGCGGUGAAAUGCGCAGAUAUCAGGAGGAACACCAAUUGCGAAAGCAGCUCGCUGGGACGUUACUGACGCUGAGACGCGAAAGCGUGGGGAGCAAACAGG